rnacentral:rRNA from 1 species
UACAGGGGGGGCAAGCGUUGUUCGGAAUUACUGGGCGUAAAGGGUCUGUAGGUGGCCAACUAAGUCAGACGUGAAAUCCCUCAGCUUAACUGGGGAACUGCGUCUGAUACUGGAUGGCUUGAGUGUGGGAGAGGAAUGCGGAAUUCCAGGUGUAGCGGUGAAAUGCGUAGAUAUCUGGAGGAACACCGGUGGCGAAGGCGGCAUUCUGGACCAUAACUGACGCUGAGGAGCGAAAGCGUGGGGAGCGAACAGG